UGGCGCAUCGGACGACUCAACCCGACCGAUGCACACAUCCUGAGUGCCUACCAAGUUAUCUCAACACUCUAACCAAACUGACCGUCCUGACCCCAUCAUAGGGGGGUAG
rnacentral:rRNA from 1 species